rnacentral:rRNA from 1 species
GGCGCAAGGGUGCGUAACACGUGGGUAAUCUGCCGUGAAGUUUGGGAUAACUUGCUGAAAGGCGAGCUAAUACCGGAUGUGACAACUGGGAGGCAUCUUCUGGUUGUUAAAGUUGGGGACCGCAAGGCCUGACGCUUCAUGAUGAACCCGCGGCCUAUCAGCUAGUUGGUGAGGUAACGGCUCACCAAGGCUAAGACGGGUAGCUGGUCUGAGAGGACGACCAGCCACACUGGAACUGAGACACGGUCCAGACACCUACGGGUGGCAGCAGUCGAGAAUUUUUCACAAUGGGCGAAAGCCUGAUGGAGCGACGCCGCGUGGGGGAUGAAUGGCUUCGGCCCGUAAACCCCUGUCAUUUGCGAUCAAACCUGGUUAUUUAAAAGAUGACCAGCUGAUAGUAGCGAAAGAGGAAGGGACGGCUAACUCUGUGCCAGCAGCCGCGGUAAUACAGAGGUCCCGAGCGUUGUUCGGAUUCACUGGGCGUAAAGGGUGCGUAGGUGGUGAGGUAAGUCGGAUGUGAAAUCUCCGAGCUCAACUCG